GUUGGGAGAUGGAGACCAUCCUGGCUAAUAUGGUGAAACCCCAUCUCCAGCCUGGACAACAGAGUGAGACUCCAUCUCAAAAAAGAAAAAAGUGUGUUAUUUGAAAAAUAUAUCCAGGCUCACAAAUUGAAUCAGAUAAUGGUAUUUGAACAAAAUUCAUGUGGUGAUUUACUUAGUUUCAUGAAGUCUUUAGAACCUAAUUUCUGUACUCUUUAAAUUUUGUAAGACUUAAGUGAAAUAUAUUUAAUUUUGUUAUAUAGCAAAUAAUAUAUUGAUGGGAGAGGAGAAAGGAAGAAACCUGUCAGGUAGGCAGUUAGGGUGGGUCCUCAGUUAGAUUCUUUCAAACAAAAGAACAGCCUGUGGCACAGAUAAGGGAAAUUGCACAGGCAUCUUCCCUAAGACAUGCCCACAGCCACACAGAUAAAAAAGUCGGCCGGGCACUGACUUUCAUUUGAUUUCAUUUUUGACCCUAUGAUCAUUCAGGAGCAGGUAAUUUAGUUCCCAUAUAUUUGCAUGUUUUUGAAGGUUCCUUUCGGAGGUGAUUUCCAGUUUUAUUCCACUGUGGUCUGAGGAGUGCUUGAAAUAAUUUCAAUAUUCUUAAGUUUAUUGAAGCUCGUUUUGUGGCCUAUCAUAUGGUCUAUCUUGGAGAAAGUUCUAUGUGCUGUUGAAUAGAAUGUGUAUUCUGUGGUUGUUGGAUAGAACAUUCUGUAUAUAACUGUUAAGUCCAUUUGUUCCAAGAUAUAGUUUAAAUGCGUUGUUUCUUUGUUGACUUUCUGUCUUGAUGAUGUGUCUAGUGCUGUCAGUGGAGUAUGGAAGUUCCCCACUAUUAUUGUGUUGCUGUCUAUCUCAUUUCUUAGGUCUAUUAGUAAUUGUUUUAUAAAUUUGGGAGUUCUAGUGUUAGGUGCAUUUAUGCUUACCGUUGUGAUAUUUUCCUGUUGGAAAAGGCCUUUUAUCAUUAUAUAAUGUCCCUUUUUGUCUUUUUUAACUGCUGUUGCUUUAAAGUUUGUUUGGUCUGAUAUAAGAAUAGCUACUCCUGUUCAUUUUUGGUGUCCAUUUGUCUAAAAUGUCUUUUUCCACCCCUUUACCUUAAGUCUGUGGGAGUCCUUCUGUGUUAGGUGAGUCUCUUGAUUACUGAGGAAGAUUUUUAUUUGCUCUCCUUUGCUUAUAAAGUACUACGAUUAAGUGAUACUAUAGCUUUCUCCCUCUACACCCUGAACAUCCCUCUUCCUGUGUUUUCUUCUGUGACUGCAUUUUUUCUGCUAGAGAUAAGAAUUCUUUUUAUUAUGUGGUAAUGAGAAGGGGAGCUUAAAGCAACUGGGGCCCUUUCUGCUUAAAGUUCCAAUUGAAAACAGAUUUUCUUUCUUGUGUAGGACAAAAAAUUUCCCAUACAACUCUGGAAAUUAUUGUUUGAUUUUUUUCCACCUAAUGAAGAAUACAUUAUAGAAAACGUGAAAGAUUCAGGUUUCUGCCUUCAGGAUUGCACCAUUGUGUGUGUGUGUGUGUGUGUGCACGUGUGUGUGUGUGUAUGUGUGCCCUUGUGUGUGUAUGCCUGUGUGCAUCCGUAAUAGAAUAAAGAACCUAAUGGUGUGUACCACUACACCAUGUAUACUAUAAAUGUUUUAAGAAUGUGUUUUCCAAAAAAUCAUAUAUUUCAUGUUUGAUGCAUUUGCAUAACCUAAUAAAAAGUAGUAUCAUUUCAUACAUUUCUUCAAUUUCACGGUUUUCUUGUGAUUUUGUGUACUUGUGUUUUCCUCAUUUUUGCUUGAUUAGAUUGGCUGGUGGUUUUUCUGUUUGGGUUUUCUUUUUUUUUUUGGAAGAAUCGGAGUUAGAUAUAUUUACCUAUUUUCUGUUUUUCUUUUAUUUUCAAACUCAUUCAUUACUACUUUUAACUUACAAAUCAUUCUCUUCUUCUUUCUUUUGGUUAAUGUUGUUUUUCUUCCCUUACUGUUUUAUGGGGUUAUUUUCCCUAAGAGCAUCUUGCUUAGAUUGGUUAGUUUAUAGGGCCCAGACUCCUCCAAACUUUGUGAGUUUCCCUUGCACAUCCCAUAAGUGAAGACUAGUUGCAGAUUUGGCUGUAGUUUUCAGAUUAGCCAAUUGAACUUUCCACGCUAAGUGGAGACCCCUAAAUUUGAGGAUUGCUACCUAUUUGUGAUUUUUUUCCCCAUAGGUCCUAGAACUCUUUGAUGUGUAUUGGCUGUUCCCCUACGUUUUUUCACAUGGUUACUGAUAACCAGUGGAUCAUUUUGUUUCCGGUGGCUUGACCGCAUGCACAUGUGUUUUGGAAGUCUUGGGAGAUAAGUUGUCAUUUGUCUUUCCUACAUGUAUUUUUUCUGUGGGCUUUUUUCCUCCUCUCUUUUGCUCUAUUUGUUUUUGUGGGAGAGUUAGGGACCUUCCAAAACCAUGAAGCUGUCACCUUCUUCCUUCCCUUGCCUAACUUUUAAAUGAUCACAGGCUGCUCCAGCAACUAUGCGUGUCAAGAAUGUAAGGGGAGACUGGAAGAACAGACAUGAAGCUACUGCUAUGGUGAGCUUUGCUUCUUCAUGAUAUUUUCAUUCUGCGAGGAGCUGCUCUCACUGACCAGAAAAUAAUGCCACAAACAACUCCAGCAACAUCCUUACUAUGGCCCAUGAUCCCAUUGGAAGUGAAAGCAUUGUUUCCUGUUGCUCAGGUAGAAAUAUCUCAAGGACGGUGGUUUCUGGAGACACUAAGAUGAUCUUCUUGCAGACUGACAGACAUCUAGAUAAUUUCCCACCAUUCCAAUUCUUUCUUCACCUGAGAAGAGAGAGAAUUCAUUAUUUGUCCUAUUGCUUUUGAUAUAUGGUCAUUGAAGUCUCUAGCCAUUCUGCUAAAGAAGAUAAUUUUUAUGCACUUAAUAAAUGGAAGAAAACA